AUUGAACGCUGGCGGCAGGCCUAACACAUGCAAGUCGAGCGGAUGAAGGGAGCUUGCUCCUGGAUUCAGCGGCGGACGGGUGAGUAAUGCCUAGGAAUCUGCCUGGUAGUGGGGGAUAACGUCCGGAAACGGGCGCUAAUACCGCAUACGUCCUGAGGGAGACAGUGGGGGAUCUUCGGACCUUACGCUAUCAGAUGAGCCUAGGUCGGAUUAGCUAGUUGGUGGGGUAAAGGCCUACCAAGGCGACGAUCCGUAACUGGUCUGAGAGGAUGAUCAGUCACACUGGAACUGAGACACGGUCCAGACUCCUACGGGAGGCAGCAGUGGGGAAUAUUGGACAAUGGGCGAAAGCCUGAUCCAGCCAUGCCGCGUGUGUGAAGAAGGUCUUCGGAUUGUAAAGCACUUUAAGUUGGGAGGAAGGGCAGUAAGUUAAUACCUUGCUGUUGUGACGUUACCAACAGAAUAAGCACCGGCUAACUUCGUG
rnacentral:rRNA from 1 species